AGUGCUCCUAGAUGUUAUAAUUCUUGUUUUGGUAAUUGAACAUUGCAAGUAUUUAACACUGUAAUCAAAAGGCAAUGGAAACCAGAGGGUAUAUUGAUCACAUGUGAGGUUGUAUGGCUGUUGAUCACGGCUUACAUUUCCAAAAAAAAUAGUAGCAGCUAUUAUUUUUACUUAAAAGGGUAGCAGGGCUUAUUGUUCAAAUUCAUGUAGAUUUUCAAAUCCAGGAUUUGGGCAAUCUUCCAUGUUUCUUAACGCAGUCUAAAACCAUGGAAUUGAUGGGCAAUUUUGAAUUAAGUUUGUGAAAUCCAUAUGUUGAGGGAGAGGGAUUUCACAAAAUCCCACGUACUAGGCUGGUUUCAAAUCCUUUUAAUUUGAAGAAUUCAUCAAAAUACAUGGAUUUUCUCAUCCUUUUUCUAUAUUGGUGGUUUUCUCUAGUUCCAUGGGCAAAGGCUCUUGGUCCACAUGACGACGAGGAUGAGGAAUCAAAUGAUGACUACAGCGAUGAAGAAGAGUCGCAAUCACCAAUUGACAAGUGAUGCAAGCAUCAGAUCCAUUGAGGUUCUAGAAUACAAACACUGGACUUCCAUCACCAAGAGCUAGCAAAUGGUGUUGCCUAGCAUGUUGAGCAGAGGAGAGCAGUGAUUGAAAAGGAAAGAAUGGAAAAAGCAAAUAAUGUUUAGAAUAAUAGUUUUUUUUUUUUAUGGAUGUAAUCUUAAUUUAAUUUGCUUGUUAUGAAUAUAUGAU